rfam:Helianthus annuus linkage group 8, whole genome shotgun sequence.
AUGAGGAUGAUGAUAAAAUUCGACGAAUAUCGAAUGAUUUCUCUUUGUUUAAAGAGAAGGUGAUUUGUAACCAGCUACUUCUGACUCAU